UCCGUAGGCGGGCGACUAAGUCAGAGGUGAAAUCCCACAGCUUAACUGUGGAACUGCCUUUGAUACUGGUUGUCUUGAGUUAUAGUGAAGUAGAUAGAAUAUGUAGUGUAGCGGUGAAAUGCUUAGAUAUUACAUAGAAUACCGAUUGCGAAGGCAGUCUACUAACUAUAUACUGACGCUAAUGGACGAAAGCGUGGAGAGCGAACAGGAUUAGAUACCCUGGUAGUCC
rnacentral:rRNA from 1 species